rfam:Mus musculus chromosome 6, GRC primary reference assembly.
GCUUGCUUCAGCAACACAUAUACUAAAACUGGAACGAUCCCGAGAAGAUUAGCAUGGCCCCUGAGCAAAGACGACACUCCAAUUUGUAAAGCGUUCCAUAUUUUU